AUUGAACGCUGGCGGCAUGCUUUACACAUGCAAGUCGAACGGCAGCGCGGGCUUCGGCCUGGCGGCGCGUGGCGAACGGGUGAGUAAUGCAUCUGAACGUGCCCAGCAGUGGUGGAUAGCCCGGCGAAAGCCGGAUUAAUACCGCAUACGACCUGAGGGUGAAAGCGGGGGACCGAGAAAGCUCGCGCUAUUGGAGCGGCCGAUGUCGGAUUAGCUAGUUGGUGGGGUAAAGGCUUACCAAGGCGACGAGCCGUAGAUGGUGUGAGAGGAUGACCAGCCACACUGGGACUGAGACACGGACCAGACUCCUACGGGAGGGAGCAGUGGGGAAUUUUGGACAAUGGGGGCAAACCUGAUCCAGCCAUGCCGCGCGCGGGAAGAAGGCCUUCGGGUUGUAAACCGCUUUUGUUCGGGAAGAAAUCCUCUGGGCUAAUACCCCGGGGGAAUGACGGUACCGGAAGAAUAAGCACCGGCUAACUACGUG
rnacentral:rRNA from 1 species